AUUGCUUCUUGGCCUUUCAGCUAAGAUCAAGUGUUGUAUCUGUUCGUAUCAGUUUAAAUCAUUCUGCACCAAAGAUAUGUCUCUUCUUCUCCAUUUAUUAAUUUGUUCACUUAUU
ensembl:snRNA U2 U2 spliceosomal RNA